rnacentral:rRNA from 1 species
CGCCUGGGGAGUACGGGUGAGGUAACGGCUCACCAAGGCGACGACGGGUAACCGGCCUGAGAGGGUGACCGGUCACACUGGGACUGAGACACGGCCCAGACUCCUACGGGAGGCAGCAGUGGGGAAUAUUGCACAAUGGGCGCAAGCCUGAUGCAGCAACGCCGCGUGAGGGAUGACGGCCUUCGGGUUGUAAACCUCUUUUAGCAGGGAAGAAGCGAAAGUGACGGUACCUGCAGAAAAAGCACCGGCUAACUACGUGCCAGCAGCCGCGGUAAUACGUAGGGUGCAAGCGUUGUCCGGAAUUAUUGGGCGUAAAGAGCUCGUAGGCGGUUUGUCACGUCUGCUGUGAAAAUCCAAGGCUCAACCUUGGACUUGCAGUGGGUACGGGCAGGCUAGAGUGCGGUAGGGGAGAUGGGAAUUCCUGGUGUAGCGGUGGAAUGCGCAGAUAUCAGGAGGAACACCAAUGGCGAAGGCAGUCUUCUGGGCCGGUACUGACGCUGAGGAGCGAAAGCAUGGGGAGCAAACAGGAUUAGAUACCCUGGUAGUCCAUGCCGUAAACGUUGGGCACUAGGUGUGGGGUCUUCUAACGGAUUCCGUGCCGUAGCUAACGCAUUAAGUGCCCCGCCUGGGGAGUACGG